rnacentral:hammerhead_ribozyme from 1 species
UUUCAGCUGCCGAGUCUCAAAUAAGACGAAACGCGCGUCAAACUGGAU